rnacentral:rRNA from 1 species
UACAGAGGUCUCAAGCGUUGUUCGGAUUCAUUGGGCGUAAAGGGUGCGUAGGCGGCGCGGUAAGUCGGGUGUGAAAUCUCGGGGCUUAACUCCGAAACUGCAUUCGAUACUGCCGUGCUUGAGGACUGGGGAGGAGACUGGAAUUUACGGUGUAGCGGUGAAAUGCGUAGAUAUCGUAAGGAAGACCAGUGGCGAAGGCGGGUCUCUGGGCCGAUACUGACGCUGAGGAGCGAAAGCGUGGGGAGCGAACAGG